CAAAGCUUCCGCAAUGAAAGUAUUUUCCAAAAUUAAUCACUUUUCCUAAAAAUGACUUAAUCCAAUCGGUUUCCUAGAAAUAUCCAUGACAUUAAGGUGUGGCAAUGGCGGUAUGCAUGUCUAGGAUUGGACCCGAAGGGAGCUUGGUACUUAAGCAGUCCGAUGGACUCACCACCUCUUUUCCGGUUUCCUACCUGGUGCAUAGCUUCCAUUCACUUUAAUCCUUAAUGAAUUAAUCUUUUGAACAUCAAGUACGAUUUUCUGGACUUAGAAUGGAAAAAAAAAUUUUUAACGUUUUUGAUGUGGCAUGCCGGAUCCGGCCAUAACUUCUGGGCCGGGUUUGGGGUGCUACAUGGCUACACUUUAUCUGAUAUAUGUCAUAAUGGCAUGAUGUAGUGUGUAGGGAUAGGUGGGUGUUUUUAACCCCACAUGGUGUAAUGGGAUGGUCGGAGAUGGUGUGUAGAGGAUGGAGGUAAUCCACAGUUUUAGACGGAUCGGCGCAGGAGAGACUCAGCGGUGACCACUCAACCGUUUAAUUGUUAAACUUAGCAUUUAUGGUUUAUUUUAAUUUUGGGGAUUUAUUUGAGAGUUUAUAAUUUUUGGGACUCUCUAGAUUGUUUGGUUUUUAACUAUUUAUUUUUGGGUUAUUUGUCAAUUUUAUUGCUUUGGUAAAAUUAUUUUAUUAAAACGAAGAAUUUUAUGCAAACCAAAA